rnacentral:rRNA from 1 species
AGAGUUUGAUCAUGGCUCAGGAUGAACGCUAGCUACAGGCUUAACACAUGCAAGUCGAGGGGCAGCAUGAGCUUAGCUUGCUAAGUUUGAUGGCGACCGGCGCACGGGUGAGUAACACGUAUCCAACCUGCCGAUGACUCGGGGAUAGCCUUUCGAAAGGAAGAUUAAUACCCCGAUGGCAUAGUUCUUCCGCAUGGUGGAACUAUUAAAGAAUUUCGGUCAUCGAUGGGGAUGCGUUCCA